rnacentral:rRNA from 1 species
UACGUAGGGGGCAAGCGUUGUCCGGAAUCAUUGGGCGUAAAGCGCGUGUAGGCGGCUUGGUAAGUCUGCUCUGAAAGCCCGGGGCUCAACCCCGGGAGGCGGGUGGAUACUGUCAAGCUCGAGUCCGGAAGAGGAGAGCGGAACGUCCUGGUGUAGCGGUGGAAUGCGCAGAUAUCAGGAAGAACACCGGUGGCGAAGGCGGCUCUCUGGGCCUUACCUGACGCUGAGGAGCGAAAGCGUGGGUAGCGAACAGG